ACUUUGAUUGAUUGUGACUCUCCAUUCUAAAAUUUUCCAUCAUAACAAUUAUUGUUUUAUUAACAAUACCGUACAUAGCACACAAACCACCAUCCAAACAGUGCAACUCGCAUCAGUCUUUCCCCUUACCGGUCCUUUUCUCCUCUCACCUCUACAUGUACCACCACCAUCAACCGCCGCAUCACCAUCAACACCGACGAGUACAACAUCGAAAAUCACCCCUCUUCUUUAUUUCUCCCUCCUCUCAACAUUCAGCCACCGCCAACCACCAAAACAGACCCACGACCACUCUCCUCAACGGACUCCGGCGAAGAGUUUAACUUAAGGCGGAUUCUCAUGAACCCGCCACCGGCUUCUAGCAAAGAGUGGUGUACUGUCUCUGAGCAGUCGGUUCAAAAUUCCAGCUUCAAGGUAACUAAUCGAUGAUGCUAACUGUAGUAACAAGUGGCAUUGAUAGGGAGUUCAAGAUUAAGGUGUCAUUUGAAAAUGGAAGAAUAGUCUCAGUAAGUCCUCUCCACUUAUUGUUAUAACAAAAGCUGAAAUAUGCGAAAGAACAAAAGGUAGUCUAUUUGAUCACCGGUUUAGGUCAAAGUCUUACAAUCUUUGGGGAGAUUGUACUGUAUCUUUGCUUAUCAUUUAUGCAUUUAUUGAUAGUAGCAUUAUGCAGGGGAUUGUAGUGAGCACAUUGAUCCAAAGCAAAAAUUGUAUCCUUUUGAACUUUCAUGUCAUGUCCUCAUGUUGGUGGUGCAACUAGAUAUGUAAAGUCAUUUCAUUCAAAUUUGUUUGAAAAUUUCUACUACUAGGUCUUUGCUUAUCUUGAUAUUUGGCAUCUAAUCAGUCUGUUAUUUUAGUAUUAGUAUUCAAAAAAUUUAAUUGCUUCUGAUACUUCUGUUUUCUCCUUUUAAAUUUGCUUUGAUAUGGGUUAUACAUGAGCCGAGGGUCUUUCGAAACAACUUCUCUAUCUUCACGAGGUGGGAGUAAGGUUUGUGUAUACUCUACCUUCUCCGUAUCCACAUGUUGGAUUACACUGGAUAUGCUGUUGUUGUUGAACUCUUAUGUUAUGACUACUGCCUUCAAUUAGUACAAGAUUGAAGAUUUGACUUCAAUUUAUCGCGACAAAGCACAUUGAUUUAGUCCCGCUGGUUUCUAGAAUUCCCUAUCAUAGGGUAGCAGUGUUUUGGACAUUAAUAGUGGGAAGCAUACCUGUUCUCAUUAAACAUAUUGGUAGUAUGAACAACAUUGAACAACAAUAUGAAGAUUACAUCACUGAUGCGAUAUUGUUGAGUAUUAAACGCUUCGUAUAACCAACUCUACGAACUACUAGCUUCGCACUUGGAUGUAAAUUUGUCAUGCAAGAGCAUUCAAAUUGAAUAUCAGUUAACAAAUUUUGAAGGUAAAAUGCGUAUACGUAAUGACAUGGGUUUAAAGGUAUAUAUUUUACAGAAAAGGGAGAUAAAGGCAAUGAGUGUUUUGCCUUUGUAUGCAAGUGUUUCAAAAAAGGAUAGUUUCAACACAUUUGUUAGUUCAUCAAUAUGUAAUGCUGAGAGUAUGAAUUUGUCUGUUACUGCUCGUAACGUGGUAAAUAUAAGUACUGAAAGAUCAUUGAUAGUGAGUACUUCAGAUAAAUGUUUGGAUGUAUUUGAGAUGGAUACAACUAAAGUAAUUAUUUUGGACCCACAUCACAAACAUAUUGAGGUUGAACGAGUUUAUAUCUCGAAACGUGUGUUAAAAUUUGUGAUGAAGGAUUACACGAUUCGAGAGAAGUUUCAAUCACUGUCUGUCAGAUCAAGUAAAACAUAGUAAAUUUUUCAUGUAUAUAUUUUUUUUUUGUUUCCAUAUUGGUAAAUUGUAUUGCAUCAUAUGUAUUUACAAUAUACAUAUGUAUUAAAUUUUUCAUUUUUUCAUUUUGGUAAAUUAAAUUUCAGCAUAAGAAUUUUUUUUAUUUUUUUCCAGUUACACAUUGUUGUGCAGAUUCAGAAAUUGUGAUUUUUUAUUCUGUACAUCUGAUAUCAACAAAUCUGGAAUGUUUUGUGUUAGAGAAUUCUUACCAGAACACAUAAGUCCGAUAAAGGAUAAGAUUUAUCCUAAGUUUUAUGUUACCAGUAAGUUGAUUGGAGGUAUAGUGAAACAAAAGUUUAAAAGCCACAAAAAAAAUACAGUGCGACUGAGAUCAGAAGUGACAUGAAGGAUGAUCUGGGUAUGGAUUUGACAUAUAUUAUGUGUUGGUCAGCUAAGGAACAAGCACUUGAAGAUUUGAGAGGAAAACCAUCUGCAUCAUAUGGGAAACUACCUGCAUACGUUCAUGUUUUGAACACUACUUACCUGGGUUCACAUGUACGAAUGAAAAAGCAUGAAGAUAAUGAGUUUUUGUAUAUUUUUGUCGCACUUACUACAUUCAUACAAGGGUUCGAUCACUGUAGAUCUGUGAUAGUUGUUGAUGCAAGUUAUCUCAGAGGACUGUACAAUGACACAUUUGUAGUUGCCUGUACAAUGGAUGGAGCCGGUAAGCUAUUCUCAACACGUGUUUGACUCUAUAAAUAGCUGAAUGUAUUUAUAAUGUACAUAUGCAACAUAUUUAUUUUUGUACAAUGUCUUUCUUAUGUUUUCAGAUAUAUGUAUUUGUAUAUACUAAUGAAUUAUGUUUAAGAAAUAAAUGAUAGUCACAUAUUUGACAA